GGAUCUGGCCUGGGUUUCAUUUUGCCUCCCUCCCGUUGCUGCUCGUCGUUCGUCUUUCGUCUUUGCCCAAAAGCAGAGCUGGAGUUUCUGCUUUAUGACCAGUUCCGGCGAAAUGUGUCUUCAGCUGUUGCUCUUGCCCGCUUCAUCGUCGUCUAUGCCACUCUUUUGAAUUUGGAUUUCACGGAAUUUAACUUCGCAGUUAGGAUGACAUUGCCUGCGUGUAUCUGUGUCUGUAUCUCAAUGUCUGUGUGUUUUUUUCGGUUGGGUCCUUUGUGUGCUGCGAGGAUAAUCUAAUUUUCCAACUAAAUCAGUAACAAAACCAAAAAA